rnacentral:lncRNA from 1 species
UUUGACUUUGUCAGCGUAGCAUAUGCAUCAACAUGCCUCAAAUUCCUUCUUUAUACUCCUAAAUCUUUUCACUGAAUUGUAUUUGUCAAAAAGAAAAAAGAAGAAGGAAAAAACUCCAUCAUUAACUUUUAGCAAUUCCACAAACAUCUCCAACUCCUUGUCUUCUUUUUUCGUUCUUCUUUAUCCUUAAACACCCAUUGGCCAUUCUCCAAAAUAUUUAUAAGUCCUCUUCCCGCACCAAACAACAAAAAAGAGUCAGAAAGGCAUUAAGAAAAUUGAAUAUGUCAAAAACAAACGUUAAAGAAAAGAUCGUAACUAUGAGUUGUUUGAAAGAAACAAAAAUCUCUUUAACGAUUAUUAAAAAAGAAUGCAAUAAUAUAUUUAGACCAUGAGAAUUGAGAAAGAAGAGCAGAUUGUUUACAAAAGAAAACGAACUGACAGUUUUUAAAAGAAUACAUUCUUUCAAAUAAUUCAAAUAACACACCGUGAUUGUCUUCUCCAAUUCUAUUGCAACUUUUACGUCACUAUUUCCUCCGGUAUCUACUCAACUUGUGCCUUAUCAUUCCCCAGAAAAUAUUCCCUACUCUGGUUCCUCUCCCGACAAUGUCACUUUCCAACAAUUGAUAACAGCCCAACAAAAAGUCCAACUUCUCCCGGUCGGUAACUUAACCUGCACAACUCGGCGCCUCCCUCUGAUCCGCUAUAUAUUUAGUUAUUGCUUUAUCAAGUAUCAUAUCUCAAGCCAACCUUCAUCUAACAUGUAUAUCAAUGAAAAGAAGAACAUGCGUGAUUAAUAGAGGAGUAAUGAAAUUAAGUGGAAGAGAAUGGCGUGUAAUUAAGAUGAUUACUGAAGAGUUGGUUACACAUAUCAUUUAAGGUGUAAUUUCAUAAUUAAAGGCAACGGUUAAAAAAUGAGGUAACAAAUAAGAGACGAGAAAGAGGCGUGUCUUUUGAAGGAAGGGAAAUAUUAAGAAAAGGCAAAAGUCUGAGAAAAUUAGUAAAUAGAUUUUGUGGCUUGUGAGGCCUGCCAUAUCACUCCUUCAUGUCCCUCUAUUAUAUAGAUAUAUAAAUUUUUCAGAGCUCUCAGAGGAGAGGUAUAGUACUGUGUAGUAGGUGCGGCAUAUGUCCAGAAGACAGUGAAAAUAUAGACCAUCUAUUUGUGUGUUGUAUAGUAGUAAGAAGCAUAUCAAAUAUGUUCAGCAACAUCUCUUGUAUAAGCUGAGCAAUACCUAAGAGCUUGAAGGAAGUUUUGUUACUAAAUGUUUUUGCUUUAACUCAGACAUAUGAUUAGAGACAACAA